AUGUUAAAUACCAAGAGGUGGCGAGCCGAGACGCCGGGGAGAGGGGCCGGGCCCUCCGUACUUAGGCGGGAAGGGGUACGCCGGCUGACUAGCGCAGGUGCACAGGGCACCCUUCGGGCGGCACACAGUCCUUUAGAAAAGCCAGGGGAGCUGCUAAAUGGACCCUGGCGGCGAGCGGCAGUGAGGCGCGGGGCGCGGGCGACGGCGACCGCGCGGGCGAGCGGGGAGGGGCGAGGGACCGCUCCGGGAGGACACAGCCAGUCAGAGGCGCGGGGCGCGGGGCGCGCGGACGCAUUGGAGGAGAACGCUCGAGCCCCGAACGCACCCGCCGGAGGAGGCGCCGCACCUACUUCCCCAUAUAACCAAGCUGAGGAGGACCCCAGGAGCCGCUCUCUCGGAACUGUGCCGACGGGCAGGAGGAUGGGAGCCAGGGAUUGAGAGUCCGAGAGGAAGGACAGGGGAGGCUGGCAUCUCAUUGAUCCUAUUUUUGAAUGAUUCAAAGACUUUUAGAACAGAAAUUAUGAGUAACAGAAGGACAUCAAACUGGGCCCCCAGCUGAUCUGUGAUGGAUGUACAUCUUAUAACAUGACCAAAACAUAAUAUUUGUUUUUAAUUUUCUGAUAAGUCACCAAAAUUGUGGUUUGUAUAUAUACUAUAAUUUAGGACAAUCUGAUUUGUUUAGAUUUUCAAAAAUACAUUUAAUUAAUUAGGAAUCUACUUUACAAUCUGAAUGUUAGGAUUAUUAUUAUUUCAAACAAGUGUAUAAUUAUUUGUAUAUCUAAUAUGUGCAUUAGAAUUUAUAAAAUUCAUGUAGAAAGGAUUUAUGUCAUAUUAAUUAAAAUAGGUAAAGUGUAGUAGCCUGUAAAGCUCUUGAAUCCCAUGAAUGUCUUUUUUUUUUUUUUUUUUUGAUAGGCAGAGUGGACAGUGAGAGAGACAGAGAGAAAGGUCUUCCUUUGCCAUUGGUUCACACUCCAAUGGCCACUGCGGCCAGCGCACUGCACUGAUCCAAUGGCAGGAGCCAGGUACUUCUCCUGGUCUCCCAUGGGGUGCAGGGCCCAAGGACGUGGGCCAUCCUCCACUGCACUCCGGGCCACAGCAGAGAGCUGGCCUAGAAGAGGGGCAACCGGGACAGAAUCCGGCGCCCCGACCAGGACUAGAACCCGGUGUGCCGGCCCCGCAAGGCGGAGGAUUAGCCUAGUGAGCCACGGCUUCGGCUUCCCGUGAAUGUCUUUAAUAUGCCUUCCUUAAAAAAACUUUGAGAAUUGCGGCCUAGUCUAAAUUGAUGACUUCUACCUUUGUUUCUGGCAGCACAUUAAUUUGCAUGUCUUUGGCCUCUUCUAGAAUGUCAUCUUAAAAAUUUGUAAUUGGCAAAAAUAUUCCUCUGUGCUAUUUACUGUGCUAAUAUGUCAUGCUAUAUGGAACUUAUAUUUCCUACAGGGAAAUCCCAAAACUGAACCUUUCCCACAAAAAAGUGAUCAAAGUUAUUUUUAAUAAAAUAGAUGAAUAUUACA
rnacentral:lncRNA from 1 species